GACGAACGCUGGCGGCGUGCUUAACACAUGCAAGUCGAACGAAGUGGCGAACGGGCGAGUAGCGCGGAAUCAACCUGCCCUUCAGAGGGGGACAACAGGUGGAAACGACUGCUAAUACCGCAUACUGAAGGAGGGGCUUGCGUCUGAUUAGCUAGUUGGAGGGGUAACGGCCCACCAAGGCGAUGAUCAGUAGCCGGUCUUAGAGGAUGAACGGCAACAUUGGGACUGGGACACGGCCCCGGCUCCUACGGGAGGCAGCAGUGGGGAAUCUUUCGCAAUGGACGAAAGUCUGACGGAGCAACGCCGCGUGAGUGAUGAAGGCCUUCGGGUUGUAAAGCUCUGUUAGUCGGGACGCGGUACCGGAAUAGAAAGCCACGGCUAACUACGUGCCAGCAGCCGCGGUAAUAC
rnacentral:rRNA from 1 species